AUGGGGGAUCUGCACUCCUUCCUUCUCUCACAGCCCCCGGAACACUUAGCCUCUGGUUUUGUCCAUCUCCCAGGCCGGGACCAGAGCUGGGGAGGUGGGAGCGAGACCCAAGCAGAAACCCAGGUGCCAGAAGUGAGCGACCAGCAAACCUGCCCCAUCUGGUGGGGACCAGGUUUCCGAGCUGUCCGUCCCCAGGGCUGGUGUGUUUCAGUCAAGUUCCUGAUUUUUGCCACAUUGGAAAGGUUGGAGGUGAGGAAAGGGAUUGGCUCCUGUUACCCAUCUCCUGGCUACUUCAAGAAGCAGCAUGCAAAGUCCCCAACCCUCGGAGGGCUUCUCCCUUCCGUCCUCAAGUUAGGCCACCCCGAAUGCCCCAGUUGUGUAAGCCGUGGCCAUCUUCACGGGCACUUUCCCAGAAUGGCCACCCGAUGCUCCUCUCCUGUCUCUUGUCCUGCUGAGGGAUUCCACCAAAGGGCUGCGCUGAAUUAAGUGCUGGAGGCUGGGAUAGUUACAAGAUUAUCAGGUCAGGCACAGACCCUAUCCCACCAGGGAUUCGCUAAGAAAGGGGGAGAACACAUCAGUAAUCCCCAUUUCACAGGUGAGGAAACUGAGGCACAGAAGUUAAAUGUCAAAGAAGUCAAAGUUAAGUGUCAAAGCUAAAGAAGCUUAAGGUCACAGAGGGGACACAAUUGUGGGGUCCGCAAAGAAGCGUGGACAAGCUGGGAAUGACCCGCCAGAGAAAUGGGGUGAGGGGGGACCCCCAGCAGGGUUAGGGUUUGAGGCAGGAGGAGGGGAGUCGGCUAGGAGGAGGAAGAACGAAACUGGUCUCUACCACAACUGGCUCCAUAUCUCCCUGCUUCAUCCCCUCCUCCUCCCUCUCCCCAGCCAGACCCCUCUGUACUCACACACUGGAGUUGUGUAAUAUAUAUUUUUUUUAAGAAACAAUGGUUGUCGGUUUUGUUGUUUUUACAGGUGCUGUGGAAAAAAAAUGUAAGAAAGUUUAAGUAUUUAAAUAUGUUCCCAGAAAAAAAAAAAUAAGGACGGGGCUUUUUUUGUUGUUCUUAUUCUAAUAUAUUAUUGUGUACCUAGUGUAAAUAUGAUACACUCCUAUUUUGCAAGCCAAGGACACACUUUGUACUGUUGUUAUAAAUAAAUAAAGUUUACUGGAUAAAAAAAAACAAUCCCAAACCAGCCAGAUCUGGAGAGAUCCCUGAUUUUUCCAGUCGGUCAGCUCCGGGGUUGCGGGGGGAAACCGAGGAGCCGUAGGCUUGGGUCAGAGCCGGCGCGACCGUGGGAAAAGGGACCUGAGCGCUGGCGGGGCGCCGCCCGCGCCCUCCCACAGAAGGCAGCCAGCGCCCCUUAGCGCCCACGUCGCAGAAGGCAGCGUUCCUCGCUCGGGGAAACGGUGCUAAUGAUUAUUAUUAAUAAUAAAAAUAAUGUUGCUAUUUGUUAAGCGCUUACUACGUGCGGAGCACUGUUGUAAGCCCUGGGGGAGAUGCAGGGUAAUCAGGUGGUCCCACGUGAGGCUCACGGUCUUCAUCCAUAAGCCCGUCAAAGGGCAGGGACUGUCUCUCUCUGUUGCCGACUUGUACAUCCCAAGCGCUUUGUACAGUGCUCUGCACACAGUAAGCGCUCAAUAAAUACUAUUGAAUGAAUCCCCAUUUUGCAGAUGAGGUCACUGAGGCCCAGAGAAGUGAACUGACUUGCCCACAGUCACACAGCUGACGAGUGGCAGAGCCGGGAUUCGAACCCGUGACCUCUGAUUCCCAAGCUCGUGCUCUUAUCAUUUAUUCAAUCUUAUUAAUAAUAAUAAUAAUAAUAAUAAUGUUGGUAUGUUUUAAACGCUUACUACGUGCAGAGCACUGUUCUAAGCGCUGGGGGAGAUGCAGGGUAAUCAGGUUGUCCCACGUGAGGCUCACAGUCUUCAUCCCCAUUUUGCAGAUGAAGUCACUGAGGCCCAGAGAAAUGAAGUGACUUGCCCACAGUCACACAACUGACGAGUGGCAGAGCCAGGAUUCGAACCCGUGACCUCUGACUCCCAAACCCGUGCUCUCAUUAUUUAUUCAACCUUAAUAAUAAUAAUAACAAUGUUGGUAUUUGUUAAGCACUUACGUGCAGAGCACUGUUCUAAGCGCUGGGGGAGAUACAGGGUCAUCAGGUUGUCCCACGUGAGGCUCACAGUUAAUCCCCAUUUUACAGAUGAGGUCACUGAGGCCCAGAGAAGUGAAGCGACUUGCCCACAGUCACACAGCUGACGAGUGGCAGAGUCGGGAUUCGAACCCACGACCUCGGACUCCAAAGCCCGGGCUCUUUCCACUGAGCCACGCUGCUUCUACUGAAUGAAUCUUUCAUUCAUUCAAUCGUAUUGAUUGAGUGCUUGCUGUGUGUAGAGCACGGUAAGAAGCGUUUGGAAAGUACAGUUCGGCAACAGAGGCAAUCCCUACCCAACAAAGGGCUCACAGGCUAGAAGAGGGU
rnacentral:lncRNA from 1 species